CGUAGGUAAUCUACCUUUGGAUGGGGAAUAACAAUCGGAAACGAUUGCUAAUACCGCAUAAUGCAGCGGCACCUAAUGGUGACAGUUGUUAAAGCGGGGGAUCGAAAGACCUCGCGUCUAAAGAGGAGCCUGCGGCGGAUUAGCUAGUUGGUAAGGUAAUGGCUUACCAAGGCUACGAUCCGUAACCGGCCUGAGAGGGCGGUCGGUCACACUGACACUGACAUACGGGUCAG
rnacentral:rRNA from 1 species